rnacentral:tRNA from 1 species
GGCGGGGCGGAGCCGUCCGGCAGCUCGUCGGGCUCGGCUCUCGAUCACCCCGGGAAGGCCAUCGGCCCGAAUCCGAUCCCCGCUACCA